rnacentral:lncRNA from 1 species
CCGGACGGAAACUCCAAGGCAACUCUUCACUUGCCAGCGAUCCUGCGUGCGCGACCGAUUUCCGCACAUGCGCGGUCUGUGCCUGCAGUGCCCGCUCGACACCUAAGUAACGGCACGGUUGGUCUGGCCUCUGUGGCAGGGUGAGGUGUUGGCGACAGGUGGGUUCUAGGAAGGGAUGGUCUUGGGGCUCAAGUGUCGGAGGGGGGCCAGCGAGCGAGAGAGCUCGGGCAGAGAAGGAGGCUCUGAGAGCAUGGGCGUCCCAAGAGUGGCGUCCCAAGAGGGGUUUGGAAAUUUAGUUGAGAAAGAGGAGUUUUGUGGUCUCUGUGCACCACGUACUGGGAGGAACUGAGAGGUGAAAGAGAACCUAUUAUUCAUUCGUUUAGAAAGUAUCUUUUAAACUUCCAGCCUCUGCUCGUCACUAGCCUAGGCCCUGGGAAUCAGCUCUGAUCCCUACAGACAAGGCUUCUCUUCUCACGCAGCGUAAUUCUGGUAGGGGGAAGACAGACAUUAACCAUAAGAAGGAACACAGCUGGAGAUGCCCAGUGAAUUCUGCCUCCAGCUCGGUAUAAACCUUAUCAGGUCUGUCAGUAACCUCAAACCAAAGACGACAAAGGCCCGCUGAGAAUUAACAGGUUGGGUUUAUUGCUGGUUGCAGAGAGAGAGAACACACACCAUGAAGAACUGUGGGGCAUCUCAGGAGGAGUUGUCAGGUGAUUUGGAUGAGGGUUUAAGAAAGUGGGACUUUACCCUGGAUAAGAUGCUGUCAGAAAGUGGAGGUAAUUUUAUGAUUGGGCAUCUCAGUAAAUGUUAUCUAGACGGAAGGACUACUAGACGAGGCUGAAGUCCUGAUUGGUAGAGAAGCAGGAGUCCCUCAUUACCAGAAUAAGGGCUAUUUGGUCAUUUUUUGUGGUUUGAACAAUGUCCCUGUUUGAUCUGUGUUCAGAUUUAAUUAGGAGUGGUUUCGCUUUUGUAUUGGUCUAUCAUGGCCAUAGAAUGGCUUUGUCUAACAUUUAUGUUCUAUGAAAUUAGGUUCAACAAGAAAACACGAGGCCUAGCUAAGAGGACCAGGCUAUCAUCUAGUAACAUUACUGCCUGUUUGAUUGUAUCAGGCCAGCUGCCAAAUGUCAAAGGCUACUGUUCUCUUUCUCAAGUGUUUUGCAUUUUCUGCACCUGUAAAGGGAAGGGACUAGAUGACCUCUAAGUCUUUCCAUUUCCAAGCACCGAAUUGCUACAGUAAUUUGUAUGCAUGCAGGACACAGUGUAAGUUCUGUUCAAUACAGUUUUAAGUUUAAUGGCCCUUAUCCGAUGCUUUCUACUUAGGGAAUUGAAAGAAAAGCAAUAGGAAGAACACAGAAUUAAAAAGCUAUUAUUCCUAACAUGGUGUCUGAAUUUCACCAGACCCCUUUGCCUCUCUAGGCUUUGAGACAUUCAUUAGUUAAAUAAAGGGAUUGGAAUAAAUGACCUCUAUUUCAGCUACCUAUUGCAUCAUCAUAAACUACCUCUAAGACUUAGAAGUUUAAAAUAACAGUGCUUUCUUAUUCUUUGCAAUUGUGUGGGUUAACUGGACUCAGCUGGUCCCACGUAGUAUAAGCCGAGAUUACUCAUGAGACUGCAGUCAGCUGGGAGCUCAUCAAAACAGCUUCCUCAUCCUCCAGGGCCUCUCUCUUUACCUGACUUUUUACCGUUCAGGCUUCUGCAUGGUGACUAACUUCCAAGAGGACAAACCCCGUUGAGCAAAUACUUAUCAAGCCUCUGGUUGCACCACAGUUGUUAGUGUGUCACUGGCCAAAACAAGCCAUAUGGCCAAGCCCAGAGUCGGGGUGGAAGGGUCUACACAAGGUUGUGAAUACAGAGAGUCGUCGUGCAUUGGGGGCCCCCAGUGUAACAGUAAUCAGGGCCUUUAAGGGCCAGCACUUGUCACAGGACCUAGCAGCUGAGAUUAGGAUAGGAGUCACAGCUGAAUAUGAACCCCUCCAUGUGUCUGUUUAUCCUGCACUGUCUUUUUUAUUGUUUCAAAAUUUGAUAGUUUCACAUUUUAAAAUCUGAAUUUCUAACUUCUCUUGGAAAGUUAGACUAUUCGACUAUCAGAUCUGCAUGGCAAAAAUAUGCAGAAGUUAAGUAGCAAUUACCUUCUUUGUUCAAAGCAUGUACGCUAUAGAUUGCCACUGUUACCACAGCUCCCUGUUGUCUUUACUCAUUUAACUUGUAUGCUGAAUCCAUAUAGAUAUUUGAGCUUGCAACCCUUGGCAAUGGGACUGUAAUGGAGAUAACUCAAGGUUUCUGUCCUUUUAUUAAAACCAUAUCCCACCUUAAGAGGAGAAAAUACUAAUAUUAUUGGGUCAAACUCCAGGAGCUCAGUGAGAUGAAAAAGUUAUUAUAUAGGACAGAAGUUGUUCCCAAGCUGUUGAAGAGGCAGGCUUAUCACUUUGUUCUCUCCUUGUCUCAAACAAGAUCUCAGGUGCUCAGGUAUUUUUAUUGACUCAAGCUUGAUGCCAGCUGGUGAUUAGAUUUGGUCAUCUAUAAAGGCAGAAGACCUUGAGGCAUAUGUUCCCUCUAUUUUUCAGAUAGCUCUACACAGAUAGCUAACAAAAAAGAAAGCUGGUACAGGUCUACAAUCCCUGAACCAAAAACCUGAAGUCCAGAUAUGCUCAGAAUUCAGAACUGUUGCGAUUGUACAAAGGCUGUAUGAUGCACAUACUAUAUAUAUAAUGUAACACCCCCAGUGGGUUCUAGGUCAGCAUUUUAUAAUCACAUACAUUGAUUUUCUGCAGCAGAGCAUAUGUGUGCCUACUAUCAAUUUAUAGCCUCUCAGUUCCAAAUCCACCCUUCUUUUCCAUUCUUUGAAAUACUGGAGUAGGGCCCUGUAAGUAUUUCUCCCCUGCCAGCUGGCACAGUGUUGACUGCUGUCAAUACAGAGACCUAGAGGGAAGCAGCCAAAUGAAGAGUCUUCUUUUCCUCAUUCCAGAAUAUUUUCUUUUCCUUCUUGCCCUUGUGGUGGCACACGGCAGCAAAUAGUCUGCAGAACUGUUAUCCCUCUCUCAGCGCACACACACUUCACCAUCCAACAGGCCAUAACUGUCCUCUUUCUAGUGAAGUCUGAAUCCAAGCUAACAGUGGAGGUGAGAAGGCUCUUUCAAAAUUGUCCUUCCUUGAGUAUUCAGCCUCACCCUAUACGUAGUGGCUAUUCCCUGUAACGAUUAUUUCUGUAUCCUUUAGACUUGUCUUUACCCCUUAGUACUUAAUACCUGUUACCAGUUAAUAUUUAAAUUUUCUCAAAAGAGAGAGUGGCAGAUGUGAGAGUAUGUGACCUCCAAGACUGGAUCAUAGACUUGUGGGUUCCUCUUUGCUCUCUCCCUCGGGUUACUCGCUCUGGAGGAAGCAAGCUGCCGUGUCAUGAUGACACUUGAGCAGCCCUAUGGGAUGUCCAUGUGGUGAGGAACUGAGGCCACCUGCCAACAAUCAGCACUAACUUUCCAGGCCUAUGAGUGAGCCAUCCUGCCCCAGUCAGUCCUUCAGAUGACAGUAGCCCCAUUCAGUUCUUAACCUCAUGAGAGAUCCUGAGCCAGGAUCACCCAUCCAAGCUACUCUUGGAUCCCUGACCCACAGAGACUGUGUGAGAUAAUAAACAAUUGUCAUUUUAACCUGACAAAUUUUGAGGUUUUUUUUUUUUUACACAGCAAUAGACAACUAAUAAAGGUACCCGCCCCAAAAAAGAGCUCGUUCAAAAUACUGAACGCAGUUCUCUUUUAAUCUAGGCCCUGUAAACCCUUGAUAGAGCUUUGUGUCUUUCCCUUUUUUAUGAAUACUUUUGAAGGUAAAGAGCAGCAUUUUAAAAUAGUAUGUUUUGACCUGUGCUGAGUUUUCUGAAUUCAGAUUGUUUUAGAAGAGGAUAAGAAUGUUGUUAAGAAGUAUUGAAGGAGUUCUCAUCAUGGCUCAGUGGUUAACGAAUCCGACUAGGAACCAUGAGGUUGCAGGUUCAGUCCCUGGCCUCUCUCAGUGGCUUAAGGAUCCAGCAUUGCUGUGGCUGUGGCAUAGGCCAAUGGCUACAGCUCCCAUUAGACCCCUAGCCUGGGAAUGUCCAUGUACCGCAGGUGAGGCCUUAAAAAAAAAAAAAAGUAUUGAAGGUGGCAGCCCCCUUUGACAAGGUUUCAUGCCUUAUCCAUCCAUCUAUAGAAUCCAGGGUCAGGGGGGUGGGAAGGCAGUUACGAAAUACAUGUGAGCAUAUUUAUGAACUGAGAAAGGUAGACUUUUCUGAGAGUCUUACUUGGCUGUUUUGAUAGUGCCAAUAAUAAGUGUUAGAUGAGGUAAAUCUUUAGUUUCACAAUUUCUAGGAAAAUGCAUUUAAAAUACAUAAGGAAAAACAUUUCCUCAAUUAAUUUAUUGGCAUGUGUAUUUUUUCUUUUUUUUUUCUUUUCUUUUUUUCUUUUUUGCUUUUUAUGGCCACGCCCACAGCAUGGUAGGGGUGGAAUCAGAGCUGCAGCUGCCGGCCUACACCACAGCCACAACAAUGUACUGGCAUGUGUAUUGAAAUUAAUAUUUGUAUCUUCUCAACCCUUUUUUUAAAUUUAUCAGUUUACGUAAGAUACCACCAAAUGAAAGAGUAAAGAAAAGUUGAAUUCAUAGCAGAUUAACUCAUGUAUCAGUCAGAAUUCAGCCAGAGAAGCAGAACCGGUAAGAGUGUUCUUAAACGGCUUUUUUUUUUUUUUUUUUUUAAACAAAAGAGUUGACCUCAUAAUUGUCAAAUCUAUUUAAGCAGUCUCUGUAAGGUUGUUGUCUUUGCAGUUGAUGCUGGAUCUUAAAGUCCAUAGGGCAGGCAGUCAGGAAGGGAAGAUGGAUAUAAGGUGGGGAAGAGCAGGCAUCAGCCAAACUGGAGUCCAUGAGGACAGACACAACCUGUGUCAGUUCCUGUUGCCCCUGACCUUGGUGGAUGUCCUGCAAAGGCUGGAGCCCUUUGUUACAGAGCUGAACACACCCACUUGGCCCAGGAAUCAGAAAAGUUGAAGGAGCCUCCAGGGGAAGAGGAAGUGAUGGUAGACACAGCCAUUCCUCACACCCCCGAGGUGAGUGAGCAGGCAGAUCAGCGACAGUGUAUAUGGGCCACUAAAUGACUACAGUUUCACUUCCACUCUCCAAUGCCCACACAAGUCUCUCUUGUGGCUCACCCUGAUCAGAAUCAUAGAGGAACAGAAUUCAGGGAAAUGUAGUUCAGCUUAGUCUAGCUGACACAUUACAACGUUUCCACACCCUGGAAACAUAGUGGCUUUAUAUACAUCUGCUGUCCAUACAAGAGCUAAUGGAGUCAGCUGGCCCUCCAACUUAGAGUUUUGCCAUCUGAAAUUCAUGGUUUCCAGUGUUGCUGGGGCAGAGGGGAAGCUCACCAGCUUACUCAGAAGCACAUUAUUCCUGCUCACUAUUCACUGGUCAGUGCCUAAUCAUGUGGCCCUAAGAAGCUGCAAGGGAAGUUGAAUUUGGUGAACACAAAAGAAUUUUGGUAGAUGGUCUGUAUUAAUUAAUUAAUAAGUAAUAAAUAUUUAUUUAAUAAUUUAAUAUUAAGAAUGCUAUAAUUAUUACCCAUUUAGUAAAUUCUUGGAGUUGCCAUCAUGGCUCAGCAGUAACAAACCCAACUAGUAUUCAUGAGGACACAGGUUCAAUCCCAGGACUCGCUCAGUGGGUUAAGGAUCCAGUGUUGCUGUGAGUUGUGGUGUAGGUCGCAGAUAAGGGUCAGAUCUGGUGUUGCCGUGGCUGUGGAAUAGACUGGCAGCUGCAGCUCCGAUUCCACCCCUAGCCUGAGAACGUCCAUGUGCUGCAGAUGCAGCCCUGAAAAUACAAAAAAAAAAAAAAAUUCUGGUAAAGACUUUUUGAUAUGUUUCCCAGAAAUUGAGAUAGUGAAUUUCUCCAGUGUCUAUAUUGGUCAGGUGGUUUCCAAUGCUUUGCUCUCAAAAAAAUUGAAGGAGGAUUGAAUUGAGUUUUAGUGAUAAUUUUAAAUAAUUUUGCUUUCAGAUCACUGUGUAAUAUUUGACAUAAUAACUUGGAAAGAUUCUUAAAAAGUUGCAUAACAUUGCUAUGAGACAGUGUUCAUUCUUCUGUGAACAAGUCUUCUUAGUACUAACAUCUCUAAAAAUAAGACCUAAAAAGAAAUUUGACACUGAACACUUUCUCAUUCUAGCAGGUGAAAUUAAUGCACGAAUAUACAAACUAUUUUUUAAAUUUUUUGUUGGUUAAAAAGAUGUAGUUGUAGGAGUUCUCUUGUGGCACCGCUGGUUAAGGAUCCAGCAUUGUCAGUGUAGUGGCUUGGGUCACUGUUGUGGUACAGGUUCAGUCCCUAGCCCCUAACUUCCAUAUGCCGCAGAUGUGGGUAGUUCUAAUAGUGUUCUAUGUUUAUAUUUAAUAAUGGAGUAUAAUAAUAAUGAUAAGUAAAUCCAGAAGGAUGUUUUUGCUAAUAUUUUGAACCUAUGAUCACAGGAAAUACAAAUUACAACACAACAAACAAAAGUAUGAUAGGAUGAUCAGCAAAAGACUUUCAAGCAUAAAAUAUAUUUGGAUAAAAUUAUCUGGGGAAAAUGGAGUGGAAAUAUGAGUUUGGGGAGAAAAAGGAAUGAUAACAAAAUUUCCUCCUAUUAGAAAAAAGCUUGUCCAUGUAUAUCUUUAAAGGAUAAUGUUAUAAAAUUGUUAUUCAAAUUUCAUUGAGUAGAGUAAUGGAAAAAUUUUUAAAUGUCAAUACCCUGAAAAUUAUAUUCUUUUCAACUAUUUAAAUUUAUGCUUAAGGGAGUUCCCAUAGUGGUGCAGUGGAAACAAAUCCAACUAGGAACCAUGAGGUUGCAGGUUCCAUCCCUGGCCUCACUCUGUGGGUUAAAGGAUCUGGUGUUGCCGUGAGCUGUGGUGUAGGUCACAGGCACAGCUUGGAUCUGGCGUUGCUGUGGCUGUGGUAUAGGCCAGCAGCUGUAGCUCGGAUUAGACCCCUAUCCUGGGAACCUCCGUGUACUGUAGGUGCAGCCCAAAAA